AACGAACGCUGGCGGCAGGCCUAACACAUGCAAGUCGAGCGCCCCGCCAGGGGUGCGGCGGACGGGUGAGUAACGCGUGGGAAUAUGCCCUUUGCUACGGAAUAGUCUCGGGAUACUGGGGGUAAUACCGUAUACGCCCUUUGGGGGAAAGAUUUAUCGGCGAAGGAUUAGCCCGUGUUGGAUUAGGUAGUUGGUGGGGUAAUGGCCUACCAAGCCGACGAUCCAUAGCUGGUUUGAGAGGAUGAUCAGCCACACUGGGACUGAGACACGGCCCAGACUCCUACGGGAGGCAGCAGUGGGGAAUCUUAGACAAUGGGGGCAACCCUGAUCUAGCCAUGCCGCGUGAGUGAUGAAGGCCUUAGGGUUGUAAAGCUCUUUCAGCUGGGAAGAUAAUGACGGUACCAGCAGAAGAAGCCCCGGCUAACUCCGUG
rnacentral:rRNA from 1 species